UACGUAGGGGGCAAGCGUUGUCCGGAUUUAUUGGGCGUAAAGAGCGUGUAGGCGGCCAGACAGGUCAGCUGUGAAAACUCGAGGCUCAACCUCGAGACGUCGGUUGAAACCGUCUGGCUAGAGUCCGGAAGAGGAGAGCGGAAUUCCCGGUGUAGCGGUGAAAUGCGCAGAUAUCGGGAAGAACACCCGUGGCUAAGGCGGCUCUCUAGUACGGUACUGACGCUGAGACGCGAAAGCGUGGGGAGCGAACAGG
rnacentral:rRNA from 1 species